rnacentral:rRNA from 1 species
GGAGUCUGGGCCGUGUCUCAGUCCCAAUGUGGCCGUUCAUCCUCUCAGACCGGCUACUGAUCGUCGCCUUGGUGGGCCGCUACCCCGCCAACCAGCUAAUCAGACGCAGGCCCAUCUUUGGGCGAUAGCUUACAAGUAGAGGCCAUCUUUCAUGUCUCCCCCAUGCGGGAAAAACACCUCAUUCGGUAUUAGCAGGGCUUUCGUCCUGUUGUCCCCAUCCCAAAGGCAGGUUGCCUACGCGUUACUCACCCGUUUGCCACUAGGAUUCUGCCGAAACAAAAUCCCCGUUCGACUUGCAUGUGUUAGGCACGCCGCCAGCGUUCAUC